UACAGAGGGUGCAAACGUUGUUCGGAAUUACUGGGCGUAAAGCGUGCGCAGGCGGUUUUGUAAGUCAGAUGUGAAAUCCCCGGGCUUAACCUGGGAACUGCGUUUGAAACUACAAGGCUAGAGUGUGGCAGAGGGGGGUGGAAUUCCACGUGUAGCAGUGAAAUGCGUAGAGAUGUGGAGGAACACCGAUGGCGAAGGCAGCCCCCUGGGUUAACACUGACGCUCAGGCACGAAAGCGUGGGGAGCAAACAGG
rnacentral:rRNA from 1 species